UGGGGUGUAGCUCAGUGGUAGAGUGCUUGCCUAGCAUGUGCAAGGCCCUAGGUUCUAUCCCCAGCACCACAA
rnacentral:tRNA from 1 species